rnacentral:rRNA from 1 species
UACGUAGGGCGCAAGCGUUAUCCGGAAUUAUUGGGCGUAAAGAGCUCGUAGGCGGUUUGUCGCGUCUGCCGUGAAAGUCCGGGGCUCAACUCCCGGAUCUGCGGUGGGUACGGGCAGACUAGAGUGAUGUAGGGGAGACUGGAAUUCCUGGUGUAGCGGUGAAAUGCGCAGAUAUCAGGAGGAACACCGAUGGCGAAGGCAGGUCUCUGGGCCACUACUGACGCUGAGAAGCGAAAGCGUGGGGAGCGAACAGG